rnacentral:pre_miRNA from 1 species
UGUGUACUCCCACCGUUCCAAAAUACUUGACUUCCAUUUGUCCAAAAAUGGAUGUACCUAUAUACUAAAACAUGUAUAGAUACAUAUAUAUUUUGACAAAUAGAAGGCAUGUAUUGUGCAACGGAGGGAGUAGAAU